AUACGGAGGAUCCGAGCGUUAUCCGGAUUUAUUGGGUUUAAAGGGUGCGCAGGCGGGAGAUUAAGUCGGCGGUGAAAUUUUGCAGCUCCACUGUAAAAGGGCCUUUCAAAAUGGGUUCCUUGAGUGUAGAUGCAGUAGGCGGAAUUUGUGGGGUAGCGGUGGAAUGCAUAGAUAUCACGAGGAACUCCGAUUGCGCAGGCAGCUUACUAAACUACUACUGACGCUCAGGCACGAAGGCGUGGGGAUCAAACAGGAUUAGAUACCCUGGUAGUCCACGCAGUAAACGAUGGUUACUAGCUGUUUGCGAUACAAUGUAAGCGGCUGAGCGAAAGCGUUAAGUAAUCCACCUGGGGAGUACGUUCGCAAGAAUGAAACUCAAAUGAAUUGACGGGG
rnacentral:rRNA from 1 species